rnacentral:rRNA from 1 species
GCUCAGGACGAACGCUGGCGGCGUGCUUAACACAUGCAAGUCGAACGGAAAGGCCCUGCUUUUGUGGGGUGCUCGAGUGGCGAACGGGUGAGUAACACGUGAGUAACCUGCCCUUGACUUUGGGAUAACUUCAGGAAACUGGGGCUAAUACCGGAUAGGAGCUCCUGCUGCAUGGUGGGGGUUGGAAAGUUUCGGCGGUUGGGGAUGGACUCGCGGCUUAUCAGCUUGUUGGUGGGGUAGUGGCUUACCAAGGCUUUGACGGGUAGCCGGCCUGAGAGGGUGACCGGCCACAUUGGGACUGAGAUACGGCCCAGACUCCUACGGGAGGCAGCAGUGGGGAAUAUUGCACAAUGGGCGGAAGCCUGAUGCAGCAACGCCGCGUGCGGGAUGACGGCCUUCGGGUUGUAAACCGCUUUCGCCUGUGACGAAGCGUGAGUGACGGUAAUGGGUAAAGAAGCACCGGCUAACUACGUGCCAGCAGCCGCGGUGAUACGUAGGGUGCGAGCGUUGUCCGGAUUUAUUGGGCGUAAAGGGCUCGUAGGUGGUUGAUCGCGUCGGAAGUGUAAUCUUGGGGCUUAACCCUGAGCGUGCUUUCGAUACGGGUUGACUUGAGGAAGGUAGGGGAGAAUGGAAUUCCUGGUGGAGCGGUGGAAUGCGCAGAUAUCAGGAGGAACACCAGUGGCGAAGGCGGUUCUCUGGGCCUUUCCUGACGCUGAGGAGCGAAAGCGUGGGGAGCGAACAGGCUUAGAUACCCUGGUAGUCCACGCUGUAAACGGUGGGUACUAGGUGUGGGGUCCAUUCCACGGGUUCCGUGCCGUAGCUAACGCUUUAAGUACCCCGCCUGGGGAGUACGGCCGCAAGGCUAAAACUCAAAGGAAUUGACGGGGCCCCGCACAAGCGGCGGAGCAUGCGGAUUAAUUCGAUGCAACGCGUAGAACCUUACCUGGGUUUGACAUGGAUCGGGAGUGCUCAGAGAUGGGUGUGCCUCUUUUGGGGUCGGUUCACAGGUGUGCAUGGCUGUCGUCAGCUCGUGUCGUGAGAUGUUGGGUUAAGUCCCGCAACGAGCGCAACCCUUGUUCACUGUUGCCAGCACGUUAUGGUGGGGACUCAGUGGAGACCGCCGGGGUCAACUCGGAGGAAGGUGGGGAUGACGUCAAGUCAUCAUGCCCCUUAUGUCCAGGGCUUCACGCAUGCUACAAUGGCUGGUACAGAGAGUGGCGAGCCUGUGAGGGUGAGCGAAUCUCGGAAAGCCGGUCUCAGUUCGGAUUGGGGUCUGCAACUCGACCUCAUGAAGUCGGAGUCGCUAGUAAUCGCAGAUCAGCAACGCUGCGGUGAAUACGUUCCCGGGGCUUGUACACACCGCCCGUCAAGUCAUGAAAGUUGGUAACACCCGAAGCCGGUGGCCUAACCGUUGUGGGGGAGCCGUCGAAGGUGGGACUGG